GUCAAAUUUUCAAGGAAACUAAUUUCCCCCUUGCAACUGAGGUUGCGCGUAAAGUUGUUUCUGCUCCUCUGCUCUUUGGAGGUGCUAACCGAAAUAAGAUGGCUAACUGGAAUAAACCAAGGUAACCCAUGGUCCAUUUGAGAUAUUGGUGACAUCAUUAAUGUGCCUCCCAUUUUAUAAGUUUAUUUCUUGGCUAAAGGAGUUGGUCUGAUAUUAGGAAUGAAUUGAGAGCCAGUCACAUGUUUAUGGAAUUCUGAAAUGCUUGCAUAAUAUCAUAGUAAUUUUAUCCUGCAAAUACUUCAUGGAUUGAUAUUUGAUGUUCUUUGGAAUAUGGAUGUUCAUCCUACAUAAGUGGAGUUAUGUUGUUUGAACAGACUUGUGAUGUGAAGGGAUAUUACUAGUUAGAAGAAACCUCUUGUGCCAGAAGCAUGUCACUAGGAAUGAUAACUUUAGACCGUUCUUUCUAUUGUAUAUGAUUCUCAUCAUGAGGGGAACUGUUACCAUAAAACCAUUUAAGGGCGAUCAUAAAUCUGACUUUCCAAAGUUGCAGGAUAUGCCAAAACUUAACCGUUGCACAUAACUGUUGUCUAUGAAUGAAGAGCUGAAACAAGCUAGAAAACUGUUUGAACACGAUGAAGAGAAUCGGAGGAAGGUUUUUGAGGGAGAUGAACCUGCAGGAGGAUGAAUGAUUAAGAUUGUUGAAAUACAAUGAAGUUGCAUUCUAGAUUAGGACUGACGUGCUAUCACUUUGUUGGUUAUUAUGUAUUUCAAUUUUGAGAGCAAUUUAAAUAGCACCGAUUUGUUUUGGCUGUGAAAUAUCCAUGGCUGGCAUGAAAUGCACGUUGAGACGUAAACUACAUGUGGUUUUGUUUUUUCACAGUAAAAUUGCAUUUCAGUGUUCUCCCAAACAUGUACUUAAUGUUAAUAUUUGAAUAUAAUGUCUAUAACCCAUUCCUGCAAUUGAGUAGCAUGAUUGAAGUUGUGUUCAAACUCUUUCAUAACACAUACUCGCUAAUAUAACAUGAUUUUGGUUAAAAUUAGAUGUUGAGUGGCUUUGAAUUAAAAUUGAUUUUGCUGUCAAAUCUUGGUUUAAUUAAAUUAAUUUAACAACAUCACAUUUAUUCAAAACCAUGUUUAAUAAUAUUCUCUUUUUUCACUAUAGCUUGCAAUUUUCAUCUUCAACCUUUAAAACACUGUCAAAUAUUUGUACACCCUAUUUAUCUUUUAUUCAUUCAUCAUCUAUUUUCAUCAGCCGCCGCAGAAAGACAGACAUCCAUUUUCAUCGAGUUUGACGGUCGCUGCAGACAAACAACAUGUUGGACGUCACCCUAUUCAGAGAGGAAAAUGACAAUGGAAACCCCGAACUCAUCCGCGAAUCCCAACGCCGACUCACCAGUGUUGAAGUAGUUGAUGACGUUAUUAGUGUCGACAAACAAUGGCGAAAUCGUACUCAUCUCUCUCUAAAGCGACAAUAAUUGCAUCAACCUAAUCUUGUUUUGUUGCAGGUCAGUUUGAUUUGGAGAAUCUCUGAAAAAUAAUAACAAUAAAUUUCUAGCAAAUAAUUAGCUUAACAUGUCACAAUAUUCUGGAUUUGAUUAUACCAAACAGUAUAUGGCAGGA